CGAGCCUUGCCGAACUAGACUCGAGUCUUGCCGAGCUCUGCCCGAGCGCUGCCGAUUCCCGCCGAGCGGCGGGGGGGAGCCGGGCCUGCAGUGGUGGCGGACGGCGAGCGCGGCCUGUGCGGGUGGUGUGCAGCAGGACUGUCCAAGCCAUGAUUGAAGUGGUGGCCAAGCUGGGCCGUGGGCCCGUGUUCCUGGCAGGGGAGGUGCUGGAGUGUGUGAUCACCUUCACCAACCCAUUGUCGGCCUCAUCCACCUCUGCCAGCAGUGAGAUGCUGGCAUGGGCCAGCGCCCAGAUCCACUGCCAGUUUCACGCCAGCGAGAACCGGGUAGCACUCCCUCCCUCUGAUGGCAGCAAGCAUGAUGUGCAGGCAGAGAAUGAGACCGUCUUUGUCCCCAACAGAGGAGAGCGGGGUCAGUGUAUCCUGUCCACCCCACCAAAGAUCCUCUUCUGUGACUUGCGACUGGAUCCUGGGGAGUCCAAGUCCUAUUCAUACUGUGAGACCCUGCCUGUGGAUGGUCCCCCCUCGUUCCGGGGGCAGUCGGUGAAGUACGUGUACAAGCUGACCAUCGGCUGCCAGCGUGUCAACUCCCCCAUCAAGCUCCUGCGCGUGCCCUUCCGCGUCCUCGUGCUGCACGGUAGGGCCACACACUGCCCUCCCUGCACAGGCAGCCCGGGCUGCACCUGCCCUGCUGAUGCUCUCACCUCUUUCCCAGGGCUCAAGGAUUACCAGUUCCCACAGGAUGAGGCUGUUGCACCCUCAAACCCCUUCCUGGAGGAGGAGGAGGGCUUGAAAAAAGACUCUCGCCUGGCAGACCUAGCAACAGAACUGCUCAUGGUGGCCACCUCCCGACGCAGCCUGCACCUGUACAACAUCAGCAACACUCGUGGGAAGGUGGGGACAUUCUGCAUCUUUAAGACUGUAUAUAAGAUUGGAGAGGAUGUCAUUGGGACCUUCAACUUCUCAGAAGGAGAUAUCCCAUGUCUGCAGUUCUCAGUGAGCCUCCAGACAGAGGAGAGCAUCCAGGAGGAGUUCCAGCGGCGGCGGGGGCAGCCUGUCUCCUUCACCGUGCACGCCCGCCAUCAGGAGUCCUGCCUGCACACAGCACAGAGCAGCUUCAGCCUGCCCAUCCCGCUCAGCUCAACCCCAGGAUUCACCACCAACAUUGUGUCCCUGAAAUGGAGGCUGCACUUUGAGUUUGUGACUUCUGGGGAGUCAGCAGGGACUUGCUUGGUUCGUGGGAGCCAAUCAGAGGCUGUCACCUGGACUGGGGUGGAGCAGAUGGAAGUGGACACCUUCAGCUGGGACUUGCCCAUCAAAGUUCUUCCCACCAACCCCAUCCUGGCUUCCUACGUAUCUCAGUUCUCCAGCACUAACUCCAUCACCAUCUGACUUAGGAGAUGUUGUUGGCUUGCAGAGCUGCAAGUGCAUGCCACCAGUGGGAAUGGCAAGCAGGACUGUCACCAGCGUGCUGUGGUGCACGCAUCCCAGUGUCCCCUUGGAUCCAUCUGUGAUGUCCAGGGAGCUGCAAAGGAAAUAGUGGUGAUGAGAACAGAUGGGCCUGUGCUGAGGGUGAGUGGAAGCCUCCCGGACACCCCUGUUGCCCUGAACAGGGGCAGAAGUACCAUGAACCUCUCACCCACCUUGUGCAAUGGAAGAUAUAUGGUGAUCUAUCCACCAUCCUGCAGGUAUGGAAUGCCCUGUCAUCUCUCAUGGGUCAUGUACCCAUCCAUCCUCUCCUGGCCCUGUCUUGUGGCUCUCACCACUACCCCAUGGUCUAGAGCAAGAACCAAGUGGCUCUUGCUUCCCUGGAGAGGACAAAUCCAAUACCCCUUAGGGUCUGGGCAUUUCCACAGCCCUGGGAGGAGACAACAGAGGGAUAAUGAUCUGCCCUCCUCCCUUUGCUGCUAGUCCUGCACACUCAGCCCCAGCCAGGCACCUGCCAGGAGCCUUCAUGGCCCAGAAAGCUGUUUCUCAGCCAGAGCCCUGGGGAGCUGUUCUGUGGUUUAUAGACUGCUCCUUCCACUCACCACUGGCCCAUGAUCCCAUUCCUGUGCUCAGCACAGUCCCUUCCAUACUUCUCAGGCAUAGAGAAGAGCCCUGCUAUGCUGGGAAAGCUGAGGCCUCUUCUUCCCCUUAGCCUCUUCCCAUCUAACCUCCCCACUUACCUUUAGCCUGGAAGUAGCACUUGGCCUGGGAGCCCGGCAGCUGGAGGAGGGAAAGAAGCAGGCAAAGCCUGCCCCAAGCACACCUCAUCUUCUGUGCUUGCAUGGCCAUAGAUGGUUGAGCUGGACUUGUUCGCUUUGCUUCUCUAUUGCCUUUGCUCCUUUGCCUUCUCUUUCUCUUUCUCCCUCUCUGCCUUUUUAAUGCUCUUCCCCUGAUCCCAAUGAGAGAUAUUUAUAAAGUUCAGCUUUACGACCCUGGCCACCAGCUGUGCCCCACUGGAAAAGUUGUAAAACUCAUUUCCUGAUUUGAAAGGCAUGAAAACAAGAGGUAGGAUCAAGAUUUUUAACAAGCUGUGAAAAGCUGAUUCAUGCCCUCCAGAAAUUUCUCCAGUUGGAAGCCCCUGUGGGUGCAAGGCUCCACAGCAAGGGGAGAUCCAAAGGUCCCCAGCAGUGUUGCCCUCUGCAGUGUGGUGAGCACGUAAGCAGCAAGCACGGGAGACCCUGGCUCCGGACCAGAAGAGCUCCAGGCUCCCCUCUGGUCAUGCUGAGCCGUCACUGCUCCUUCAGAGCAAGCCAAGAUUUUGGGAGCAUCCCAUGUCACAGUGACCAGAGCAGCACAAGCAUUCUGCUAGCAAUGUGGGAUGCAAAUGGCAUCAUCCUCAUUUGGGGAUGGAGGUGCUUGCCCCCACUCCUGAGUACCACAUCAUGGCACUUUCACCCCAGCCUGGGCUGCAGCUGUGCCAGGUUCAUAGCCAUGCAUAGGCUGGGGAUGGGGACAGCAGGUUUAAAAUCACAGGAUCACAAAAUCAUAGAAUCAUAGAGUCGUAGAAUAUGCUGAGUUGGAAGGGGCCCAUCAGGAUCACCAUGUCCAACUCCUGGCCCUGUGCAGGACACCCCAAGAAUCCCAGCAUGUACCUGAGAAUGCUGUCCAAACACCUACUGAGCUCUGACAUAUUUGGUGCUGUGACCAGAGCAGACAGUCACAGAUGCAGAACCGGGGCUCAUCUGAGCAGUGCCCAUGAAAGGGGACUGUGCCUGUGCACCUGGAGUACCCACAAGGUACUGGGGCUGAGCGUCCUCUUCCAGGGGCUGCAGACUGGUCCCCACAUAAGCUGGAAACAGGAAGGAUAAAAUUAGGAGGCAAAAGUGCUUUUAGGCAGCAGGUAACCUGCCUAAAGUGAGGGACUUGGCUGGAAGCAAGGACCUGUGUGAAGGUGCCACAUCACCCAGGAUUGUGCCUGUGGACCUCACAGACCCUUGCUCAGAGGGACUGCUUCUGUGUAGAAGUGAUAAGGCUGUUAUCAGCUGUGAUAACAGUUAUCAGCUGUGUGUAUCAAAGUGAGCUGAAGUGCAAGAGGGAGGAGGUCAGAGCCCGCAUGGCCCCAGAGAGCUACCAGCAAAGGGCUGACUUGCCAAAAGAAAUUUGCAGCCCUUGACAGAGGUGCUGCCAGCAGCAGGAAACAGGGCUCUGGGGAUGGUCCAGCCAGGGGCUCAGCCAGCACAGGGCCAUGCUGGCAAUGAGGCAGCAUCAGCAGCAGUGGCAUAUGUGGGUCAUCUGCCCCUGCAUUAAGCUCCCUGUUCCUGAGAGUUUGGGAUAAAUUUACACCUUGACGCGUGAGGCUUAAUAUCCCUUCCAGAAUUUGUAUUGGCAUUCACUAUUAUAGCUGGAUAUUUUUCUUAUCCCUAUAAGUGCCCAAUCCCUCAUUGAAUCCUGCUAAAUUUUGGCCCGAGCAUUUUCCUGUGGCAGUCUAAUUAAGCACAGAGUGAGAAAGAAAAAUGCUUCCUUUUAUCCACUUUAUCCGCUUUGGAUUCACCACCUUCGGAUUUGAAGGCAUAGUCCCUUCCCUUUGGUGCUCUGGGCCCCUUUACCAUCCCAUUGCAUCCAUCUCCUGCAGCUUGUGCUCUCACUGCUGAGGGAGAAGCUUUGCAUCUCUUCUUACCCUUAGAGAAUUACCCCAGCCCUGUUGUAGUGCCACGGGUGUUGCUGUGUCCCUCAGUGGGGUGGCUGGAUGGCAGCGAGUGUGGGAUCUGUUAGGAAAGGCUGAUAACAAAUCAGAGAAAUGCUGGGCAUGCCCUGCUGACCGCUGGGCCAUGAGCCAGGAUGGUGGAGUGUAUCAGUGACAAAUGGAACUUGCCCUUUGGUGCAGAGUUGUUACUAUAUAAGGAGGAUAAAAGUGUUCAUCGUCAGAGCAGUUAAUUAAUAUUCCUAUUGUGUGUUUGGAAAAAGAAGUCUGGCACGCUAGUAACUGCAAUGAAAUAAUCCAUCAUUGUUUCAUCAACAAGAACAGCAAAUGUUACAAAAAAGAAAUGGUGGGUUUCACUGAGAGGCCCACAGGAUUUGGACAGGCUUCCAGAAGAGUGCUCAAAACCUGGGGCGACAGCAUCUCUUGGCUGUGGGAAGGGCAUUGCCCCUGCUCCAUCAGGGACGUGAAGAGGCAUUCUCAAGAUUUCUGUAGCCAUUACAGUUCAUUAAAUAGAGAGUUAGAGCUACGAGUCCACUCGUGGCUGUUGGGUUUUUCAUCAAAGUGCUUUGCUGGGAAAAUGCAGAGAAAUAGAGGAGUGUCAGGACAUCUCUUGGCACACUGCAGAGGGAGCAGGGCAGUGGAGCACCAUCCACACUGUGCAUAAAGAAAGGGGCUGGUGAUCCCCCAUAGCCUGUUGAUCCUGCUAUUCCCCCUGCUGACCACUUUCUUUCCCCCACUUCUGCAUUCCUGGGCACCCACCUGUCCCCAGCACACACAGCCCCAUGGGUGAUCCAGAGCAUUUUGGUCCAGGUUGUACAGAAGGGAGCUCGUAAUUUGGAAAGCAAAAAUUGCAAUUAGACUUGGUGUUUCAGAGCUUCUGCCUGGGCUCUUGAGGGUACUGUGGCAGGAGGAGCUGACACCUUCUCCUGCUGUGCCAGCCUGGAGUUUGCUGCAGAGACUGAAGUAAAGCAGCUGCUUUUGGUCUCACAUCUUAGGGAACAACUGGGACCUGGGGAAGAACCACAGAAAGGAUAAAGGGGCUGGAAGAAAUGCCUCUCUAGAAAUUCAGUCCCUUUGAUUUAUCAGGCACAGCCCAACAGAAGGGAUCACUGCCUGUCUACGUGUAUGCCAGUGAGGAGCAGUCACCACCUUUGAAUAUCCCAGGAUCCUGCAGAAGGUCAAAUCCAUGUCUCAGCAUCCUCCCAGCAGGACCCAGCUUUCCUGCCUGGCCCGGGUCUCCAACUGUAGCUGUGUCUGAGAAAAGCUGGGUGCUGCACCCCACCAGGGACACAGCUUUGCUGGCCUCCUCUCCCAGCAAUGCCUCUGCAGAGCAGCAGAAUGCCCAGUGCCAGGGAUGGGACCCCAUGGAUGGGGAAGGAAGAGCACCCAAGCCAAGGGUACUGGGGUGAGGUGGCAACAGCCCACCCUAGCACCACAGGAGGCUCAGGGGGUAAUAAUUGAUGCUGGACCAGUUGCCAUCAGCAGAAUCCAGGAGGGUUAUAAAACCUGAAUCUCCUGAGCCUUCAGCUGGAGCUGCAGCUGCAGAGCAGGAAGCAAACAGGAUCCCGGCUGGCAUUGUGAAAGCAAACACCAUAAAUCCAAGGAAGUGCUGUGAUUGCUGUUUUAGGCACUGGGGAUCUUGGCUCCUGGUCCCCAAAACUAUUUUAUUUUCUCUCUGAACAAAAAAAAAAAAAAAAAAAAAAAAAAAAAAAAAAAAAAAAAAACCCCGAAAAACAAAACAAACAAACAAAAAAAAAACAAACAAGAAACCCCAAAACAAACAAAAAAAUCCACAACCCCAGUUUAUCACUGGACCAAACUGCAUUGGUGCUGCUGUGGACCCUGAAGCAGCUCUUCAGGGGAUGUGGGGACCUUUCCUUGCCCACCACCUUGAGGAUGUUUCAAGCACCAGUGUACCCAGGGCACCAGGGCAGGUGCAGGUAGAUGCUAGCUCUGAGUGAUGACCAUUCAUGAAUGCUCACUGCUCGCUGGCAUGGCCAGACCCUGGGGAGGGGUGAGCAGAGGGGUGAGGAAGAGAUAGGCAGUCAGGAGCUGGGAAGGGAAGACAAAGGGCUAGACAGGGAAUGACAACUGGCUCAUGGCAUCCUUCAUCCCACAGCUGGUAAGCCAGAUGGGACAGCUCACAGAGGCUGGAGUACAGCCCCACCAGCAAUGGGACUGUUGCUCCAAAAAGGGGACAAAAUAGAGGAGAUGUGAGAAAAAAAUUGAUGUUACCUUACUCUGCAGACUGGCUGCCUGCUAGGCGAAGCUCUGUGCAGGUGGAGAAGCAUGGGCUGCAAUGCAUGCUGGCAUGCCUUGUGUCUUCCAUGGAUGUCCCUGGUCUCAACACCCUGGCCCUCCUUGCAGGAAGAGGUGUUGCGGCCCUAGAGGCUAGGCACAGCACUUCACAGGGCUCUGCAACCCUGGUUGGGGGGGUGUGUGGGUUCCCUGCUGUGGGACAGGACCUGCUGUGGGAUGGUGUCUGCAGGUCCCCAGUCACAUUGUGGUCCCUGUGUCCUGAGCACUCCCACGCUGGGGCUCACUCGUGCCCUCCUGCCCUCUCUCACGUGGUCUCAUCCUCCCUUGCUCAUUGCUUAUGCCCGUGUUCCAUUCCAUUGGGACUUUCCCAGGUUGUUUAUCAUGGCUGUGGCUGCCCUGCAUGAAUGUGGCAGCUGUGUCACCUCCCUGGUUCAGGACAAGUGUUGUCUCUGUGUGUC